rnacentral:rRNA from 1 species
AGUGAACGCUGGCGGUAGGCCUAACACAUGCAAGUCGAACGGCAGCACAGUAAGAGCUUGCUCUUACGGGUGGCGAGUGGCGGACGGGUGAGGAAUACAUCGGAAUCUACUUUUUCGUGGGGGAUAACGUAGGGAAACUUACGCUAAUACCGCAUACGACCUACGGGUGAAAGCAGGGGAUCUUCGGACCUUGCGCGAUUGAAUGAGCCGAUGUCGGAUUAGCUAGUUGGCGGGGUAAAGGCCCACCAAGGCGACGAUCCGUAGCUGGUCUGAGAGGAUGAUCAGCCACACUGGAACUGAGACACGGUCCAGACCCCUACGGGAGGCAGCAGUGGGGAAUAUUGGACAAUGGGCGCAAGCCUGAUCCAGCCAUACCGCGUGGGUGAAGAAGGACUUCGGGUUGUAAAGCCCUUUUGUUGGGAAAGAAAAGCAGCAGGUUAAUACCCCGCUGUUCUGACGGUACCCAAAGAAUAAGCACCGGCUAACUUCGUG